rnacentral:rRNA from 1 species
AGUGAACGCUGGCGGUAGGCCUAACACAUGCAAGUCGAACGGCAGCACAGUAAGAGCUUGCUCUUACGGGUGGCGAGUGGCGGACGAGUGAGGAAUACAUCGGAAUCUACUUUUUCGUGGGGGAUAACGUAGGGAAACUUACGCUAAUACCGCAUACGACCUACGGGUGAAAGCAGGGGAUCUUCGGACCUUGCGCGAUUGAAUGAGCCGAUGUCGGAUUAGCUAGUUGUCGGGGUAAAGGCCCACCAAGGCGACGAUCCGUAGCUGGUCUGAGAGGAUGAUCAGCCACACUGGAACUGAGACACGGUCCAGACUCCUACGGGAGGCAGCAGUGGGGAAUAUUGGACAAUGGGCGCAAGCCUGAUCCAGCCAUACCGCGUGGGUGAAGAAGGCCUUCGGGUUGUAAAGCCCUUUUGUUGGGAAAGAAAAGCAGCAGGUUAAUACCCCGCUGUUCUGACGGUACCCAAAGAAUAAGCACCGGCUAACUUCGUG